GCAUAUCAAUAAGCGGAGGAAAAGAAACCAACAGGGAUUGCCCCAGUAACGGCGAGUGAAGCGGCAACAGCUCAAAUUUGAAAUCUGGCCCCUCGGGGUCCGAGUUGUAAUUUGUAGAGGAUGCUUUUGGUGAGGUGCCGCCCGAGUUCCCUGGAACGGGACGCCACAGAGGGUGAGAGCCCCGUCUGGCUGGCCACCGAGCCUCUGUAAAGCUCCUUCGACGAGUCGAGUAGUUUGGGAAUGCUGCUCAAAAUGGGAGGUAUAUGUCUUCUAAAGCUAAAUAUUGGCCAGAGACCGAUAGCGCACAAGUAGAGUGAUCGAAAGAUGAAAAGCACCUUGAAAAGAGGGUUAAAUAGUACGUGAAAUUGUUGAAAGGGAAGCGCUUGUGACCAGACUUGGGCGCGGCGGAUCAUCCGGGGUUCUCUCCGGUGCACUUCGCCGCGUCUAGGCCAGCAUCAGUUCGUCGCGGGGGAAAAAGGCUUCGGGAACGUGGCUCCUCCGGGAGUGUUAUAGCCCGUUGCAUAAUACCCUGCGGUGGACUGAGGACCGCGCAUCUGCAAGGAUGCUGGCGUAAUGGUCACCAGCGACCCGUCUUGAAACACGGACC
rnacentral:rRNA from 2 species